GGCUUGGUAGCGGAGGGUCCGUAUCUGCUUCAAAUGGCCAAUUAAAAUUGCAUUAUGAUGCAGACGUCGCCUGUUCAACUCAGGCCCGAGCCA